AACGUGCCUUGGGGGGGGGGACAACUGUUGGAAACCACUGCUAAUACCGCAUAGUGUCUACGGACCAAAGGGGGCUUCGGCUCUCCCCUUUAUAUUGGCCCAAGUGGGAUUAUCUAUUUGGUGAGGUAGUGGCUCACCAGGGCCACUAUCCCUAUGUGGUUUGAGAGGAUGAUCACCCACUCUGAGACUGACACACGGCCCACACUCCUACGGGGGGCAGCAGGGGAAAAUAUUGCACAGUGGGCGCAAGCCUGAUGCACCCGUGCCGCGUGUGUGAAGAAGGUCUUCGGGUUGUAAAGCUCUUUCACUCGAGAAGAAAGGUUAGUAGUUAAUACGUGCUAUGUGUGACGUUACUGACAAAAAAAGCCCCGGCUAACUCCGUGCCAGCACCCGCGGUUAUACGGAGGGUGCGAGCGUUAAUCAGAAUUACUGGGCGUAAAGCGUACGCGGGCGGUUUGUUAAGCGAGAUGUGAAAGCCCCGGGCUCAACCUGGGAACUGCAUUUCAAACUGGCAAACUAGAGUGUGAUAGAGGGU
rnacentral:rRNA from 1 species